rnacentral:rRNA from 1 species
UACAGAGGGUGCGAGCGUUGUCCGGAAUCACUGGGCGUAAAGGGCGCGUAGGUGGCGACCCAAGUCGAUGGUGAAAGCUCGCCGCUCAACGGCGAGUCGGCCACCGAUACUGGGUUGCUGGAGCACUGUAGAGGCUCAUGGAAUUCCGGGUGUAGCGGUGGAAUGCGUAGAGAUCCGGAAGAACGACCGGUGGCGAAGGCGGUGAGCUGGGCCGAUACUGGACGCUGAGGAGCGAAAGCGUGGGGAGCGAACAGG